AUAUUUCUGUGGAUUCUUAUAUGCCUAUUGUCCUAAGGUUCAAAUGUUCAAAGGAUAUAUAAUUAAUAACAUAAUGAAGUAUGACAGGUUAUAUAGACAAGUGUGCCUGAAUACCAAACAGGAGUUUCAGUUGUAUAUUUGAAAAAUAAAAAUGGGCUUGAGAGAUGCAUCUGUGAGUAAAGUCACGUGUUGUCAGGUUGGAUCCCUGAGACUCACAGCAGGUUUACCUCUGACCUCCAUAAGCAUAGCAUGGUAUGCAUACAGAAACACACACACACACACACACACACACACACACACACACACUCACUCACUCACUCACUCACACUCAUCUCUCACCUCCUACAGAUACAAAUACAUAAGUAUAAACAUUAAAUAAUAAUGAAAAAAGUAAUAAAUAACAUCAAUUAAGUCACUAAGCUCUAUUGAGUGAUUACUGGCCAGUUUAAGUUUAAGUUUUAUUUAUUUAAGAGCUCACAUUGGCAUUUAGUUUUGAGUGUAUAGAUGUGUAGAUGUUCAUGUAUCCAUGCACACAUUCAUAUGGAUGCCGUAUGGUUGACGUUGUGUAUCUUUGUCACUCUCUCUACCUUAUAUUUGGGAUAAGAUCUCUCCUUGAGCCUGAAGGUCAUUGACUCUGCUAGGUUGGCUGGCCAGAACACCCCAGGAAUGGUCCCACCUUUGUUCCUCCCGUGCUAGGAUAGGGAUGGAGCUCCUAUUUUCAUGCUUACACUGCAAGUAGUUUAUCAGCUGGGCUGCCUCUCCAGUGUUCCAAAUGUAAUUUGUUAAGGUGUUAUGUAACUCUAUCAUUUUUUGAGAAUUAUCUCUUGGUUUGAGGAUUAAUCAGGUAUGUCUGAAAAUUAACUGAAUUUUGAGUAUACUUUCAACUUCCAGCUCUAAAUUAAUGGUACUUCAUUGGUCCUAUCAUGAUUGAAUGAUUCUAAUGUUUUCAAAGAAUGUUAGUGUGUAAAUGUAUCUUUUAAAGGACAUAAAAUUAAGGUUGAUUCUGCAAAUUUAUUCACUCAUUAAUGAAAUGUCUUGUUUUGCUUCCUGUAAAUUGAGCUAUUCUGGCAGUCAGUAUUGAACAACAUACCAAACCAGAGGAAAUGCCUAUUUGAACGUGUAUCUCAAGGAUAUCACAAUAAUUUUGCUAGCCUACACAUAAAAAUAUAACUUACUUUGCAGAGUCGAAUGCCUUAAAAUACCAAAUUUUGAGCUUGCUUGACAUCUGCUUGUUUUAUGUUNNNNNNNNNNNNNNNNNNNNNNNNNNNNNNNNNNNNAUAUACAUUUUAUAGAGGUAUGAACACACAGGAAGAGGCUAAGUUCUUGUAAACCUUUAAUAUUAUCCAAUAAAACAAAAUUUUAUAAGUUGGUUGCUAAUAUUUCGAUAUUUCAAAGCACGUGGCUGUAAAGCAGAUUUGGGCAUUAGUUUUAUAGCUGUCAGUGUAUCAUAAACCUCUCGCUCUCAGGUUUUACAUUUUACUGAAUUUUUACUGUGUUUAUUCACUUGCGAAGAGUCCAUUAAAUGUAUUUUGAUGUCAUAUGAAUAAUACACAAGUAGGAAUCAAUGGCAGCUAAAGAUACCCUUUUGAUUGUGGAGGAAAUCAGUUCUGAUUGGCUGAAAGAGAAAAGGAUAUAAUAUUAACAAAUGAGACAAAGAAUUAUCAUUUUUUUUAGAUUUUAGAAGAUUUCCAGGUUAACCGUGUACAGAUCACAGGGUGAUACUUUUUAAAUGAAAGUUAUCUAGACAGAACCAGCAUUCCCACACCUGUCUCUUACAAAACUAAUAAUGGUUAACUCAUAAAAGUGCACAGAAUCUUUUGCAGGACCUUGAACUUAAAGGGUGAAGCCAUUGUCCACUGUCUUCAGAACAUGAAAAUAAUAAGUACUAGAUAAGGGGAAAAGCACAUCAUAGUUAAAAGCCUUUUCUUAGUCUUGGUGAAGAGCAUCUACUGCUCUUGUGAAGAACCUGGGCUUGGUUGAUGUCCACUGUCUCACAACCAUCAGUUACUCCAGGUUUUUUUUUGGGGGGGGGGGGAUACAAGUCCCUCUUUUGGUUGGCAAUUAAUGAGCUAAUUAACUAACAAGUCUUCACUUAUUUAGCUCAAGUCAGGGUGGUUUGUGGAAUGGAUGGCCCAAGAAAUUGAAGGGCAAGAGAGAGUAGUAUGCACACACCUGGUACUCAUUCACACAGGUAGGCAAACACUCAAUGUGGUGGUGGAGGGUGGGGGAGUGUAUAAACUGUUCAAGCUAGUUGACACUGAGAAACCGUUGAAUUUGGAUUUCAGGGAAUCUUGAGGAACCCAUUAAUGUAAAGCUGCGGCCAGAGUUCCAUGAGGAGGCAGAAUGUUCUAGAUGAUCCCUGUCUCUUCUCCAUUGAGGAAGUCGUUUCUUGCCUCUCUGUAAGCUCAGUUAAUGUAAGUAGAUUCUGGUUGUAACAGG
ensembl:processed_transcript